CAAGUCGAGCGAGAAAGUGUAGCAAUACAUGAGUAAAGCGGCGCACGGGUGAGUAACACGUGGAUAACCUGCCUCAAAGUGGGGAAUAACACCGGGAAACCGGUGCUAAUACCGCAUAUUCUGACGAGAUCUGUGGAUUUUGUCAGGAAAGGAGCAAUUCGCUAUGAGAGGGGUCCGCGGCUGAUUAGCUAGUUGGUGAGGUAAUGGCUCACCAAGGCUUUGAUCAGUAGCCGGUCUGAGAGGACGGUCGGCCACACUGGAACUGAGACACGGUCCAGACUCCUACGGGAGGCAGCAGUGGGGAAUUUUUCGCAAUGGGGGCAACCCUGACGAAGCAAUGCCGCGUGGAUGAUGAAGUAUCUCGGUGCGUAAAAUCCUUUCGACGGGGACGAAGCCGCAAGGUUGACGGUACCCGUAGAAGAAGCCCCGGCUAACUCCGUGCCAGCAGCCGCGGUAAUACGGGGGGGGCGAGCGUUGUUCGGAAUUACUGGGCGUAAAGGGUGCGUAGGCGGCUUUCUAAGUCGGAUGUGAAAACUCUGGGCUCAACCCAGAGCCUGCAUCUGAAACUGGAGAGCUAGGGUUUUGGAGGGGAAAGCGGAAUUCCUGGUGUAGCGGUGAAAUGCGUAGAUAUCAGGAGGAACACCGGUGGCGAAGGCGGCUUUCUGGACAAAUACCGACGCUGAGGCACGAAAGCUAGGGGAGCAAACAGGAUUAGAUACCCUGGUAGUCCUAGCCCUAAACGAUGGAUACUUGCUGUGGGGGGGAUUGAAGCCCCUUGUGGCGAAGCUAACGCAUUAAGUAUCCCGCCUGGGGAGUACGGUCGCAAGGCUGA
rnacentral:rRNA from 1 species